rnacentral:rRNA from 1 species
CACGUAAGAAUUUACCUUUAGGAGGGGGACAACAACUGGAAACGGUUGCUAAUACCCCAUAUGCUUUCGAGUGAAAUGGAUUUUUCCGCCUAGAGAGAAGCUUGCGGCUGAUUAGCUUGUUGGUGAGGUAAUGGCUCACCAAGGCGACGAUCAGUAUCUGGUUUGAGAGGACGAUCAGACACACUGGAACUGAGACACGGUCCAGACUCCUACGGGAGGCAGCAGUGGGGAAUUUUCCGCAAUGGGCGAAAGCCUGACGGAGCAAUACCGCGUGAGGGAUGACGGCCUAUGGGUUGUAAA